UCUCGUUAAGGAGGCCAAUACGGCACUUAGAAGAGUGCAAUAUUCAUUGCUUGGGUCAACUUUGGCACAAAAAUACCCGGACAUGCUUUGGGACCGACCGAAACCUGGGACCAAGCUCUCAACGAGACGUCUCUGGAGUGUAUUCAUGUGCCGGUUAACAGCGAGGCGAAAGAUGAGGUACGCACGAGAAAAAAAAAGACAAGGCGCAGGCAAACAAUGGAGCGGAUCAGUAUGAUAUAGACACUCUAGCGCAGCAGUCCACCCCAGAUGCUCUCAAGGAACUGGAGUCCAUCGACUCUGCUGUCAAGUGCCCAGCCUCAGUAAAUGUGCCAUAUGUAGUCAAGCUCCUCAAAGUGACAUUUGAAGAGAGGAAAGGCA